rnacentral:rRNA from 1 species
AAUCUUCCGCAAUGGACGAAAGUCUGACGGAGCAACGCCGCGUGAAUGAUGAAGGUCUUAGGAUUGUAAAAUUCUUUCACCGGGGACGAUAAUGACGGUACCCGGAGAAGAAGCCCCGGCUAACUUCGUGCCAGCAGCCGCGGUAAUACGAAGGGGGCUAGCGUAGCUCGGAAUUACUGGGCGUAAAGGGCGCGUAGGCGGAUCGUUAAGUCAGGGGUGAAAUCCCGGGGCUCAACCUCGGAACUGCCCUUGAUACUGGCGAUCUUGAGUAUGAGAGAGGUAUGUGGAACUCCGAGUGUAGAGGUGAAAUUCGUAGAUAUUCGGAAGAACACCAGUGGCGAAGGCGACAUACUGGCUCAUUACUGACGCUGAGGCGCGAAAGCGUGGGGAGCAAACA